rfam:Xenopus laevis strain J chromosome 3L, whole genome shotgun sequence.
UCGUCAGUGAGGUCAAUCCUUACCUGUUCCUCCUCCGGGAGAAACAGCACGUGAUGAAUGGAGGAGACUGAGUUGCUGAUUACUCUGUACUCCGGUCCUGAUUGGUGCGACAACACUAACCAGUCAGGAUCAUUCUGAU